rnacentral:rRNA from 1 species
CAGGUACAGCGGGAAGCCACCUGGCGACAGGGAGCGGAACCCGAAAGCCUGUCUCAGUUCGGAUUGGAGUCUGCAACCCGACUCCAUGAAGCUGGAUUCGCUAGUAAUCGCGCAUCAGCCACGGCGCGGUGAAUACGUUCCCGGGCCUUGUACACACCGCCCGUCAAGCCAUGGAAGCCGGGGGUGCCUGAAGUGCGCUGCCGCAAGGAGCGCCCUAGGGUAAAACCGGUGACUGGGGCUAAGUCGUAACAAGGUAUC